rnacentral:tmRNA from 1 species
GGGGGCGAAAGGUUUCGACUGUGGUAAGCUUGGGAAGAGCAGCAUGCCGAGGUUGUCAGGAGGCCUCGAAAAACACCUGGCACAUAUUAAACGCCAACUACGAUGCAGUAGCUGAAGCUGAGGGUAUUCUUACCUCCAGCGAGGCGCUCGCUGUUGCCUAAUUAAUUAGGCAACCCGUCUACAGGUCUUGCCUGCGGGACUUGACAGACGCUAUUAGCAGGCUGGGUCAUUUCUUUAUGUCCUUUUGGAAUGGCUGAGGAGCAUGAAAAGGGCUUUGUUUGAUGAUAUCCCGUUUACCGGAGCUCAUCAGGCGAGACCAAAAGGUAACCUAAGCAUGUAGAUACUGUUUUUGGGAUGCCAGAGGACGCGGAUUCGAUUUCCGCCGCCUCCACCA